GUCACAAAAUUUGUAUUCAAUUUAGGUUCAUUUAUUUUUUAAUUUUUUAGAUAAAUUUUUCCAUGGAGCGUGGUCAAAGUCGUGCAAGACAAUGGCGUCAAUCAUUGAGUCCUGAAGAACAUCAAAGAUAUCUAGCUCGACGACGUCUCAUAGCACAAGAAAAAAGACAACAAAUUCCAACUCUAUAUGAUGAUCAUACUAUGACAUCCCCCAGUAACAUACAACAAGAAAUUCCUGGUCCCAAUAAUAUACAAGAACGGGUUCAGUUGGCUAACUAUGAUGUUGAGGUCGACCCCAGUAAUAUAGAACAACAAAUUCCUG